UACGAAGGGGGCUAGCGUUGCUCGGAAUCACUGGGCGUAAAGCGCACGUAGGCGGCUUUGUAAGUUAGAGGUGAAAGCCCAGGGCUCAACCCUGGAAUUGCCUUUAAGACUGCAUCGCUUGAACAUCGGAGAGGUAAGUGGAAUUCCGAGUGUAGAGGUGAAAUUCGUAGAUAUUCGGAAGAACACCAGUGGCGAAGGCGGCCAGCUGGGCCGUCCCUGACGCUGAGGCGCGAAGGCGUGGGGAGCGAACGGG
rnacentral:rRNA from 1 species